ACCCGCUCCAGCUCAUCCAGCCUCAGUUUGAGACACCGCUGCCAGCUCUUCAGCCUGCGGUUUUCCCUCCUAGUUUCAGGGAAUUGCCACCUCCUCCUCUGGAGCUGUUUGACUUGGAUGAGACGUUCUCCUCGGAGAAGGCACGGCUCGCUCAGAUUACCAACAAGUGUACUGAAGAAGACCUGGAAUUCUAUGUUAGGAAAUGUGGCGACAUUCUUGGCGUAACCAGUAAACUACCAAAGGACCAACAAGAUGCCAAACAUAUCCUUGAGCACAUCUUCUUCCAAGUGGUGGAGUUCAAGAAGUUGAACCAGGAACAUGAUGUUGAUACAAGUGAACCAGCAUUCCAGAACAAUUUCUGAGGAUUCUACCUCUUGACGCAUUUUCUGCCUCUUGAUUUUCUCUUUGUGAACUACUUUUGACUUGUUCCUCAACUUACCACAAUUGUCUGUACACUUAUUCCUUUACAAGCUGUUCUAUUAAUCUCUGUAUUAUCCAGAUAGGCCUAAGAUUUAUAACUUACAGAAUCCUUAUGUAAAAUACAUUCCAUUUUUAAAAAUUAAAUAUACGAUUGAAUCUGUACUUUUA